rnacentral:rRNA from 1 species
AGGAAUAUUGGUCAAUGGACGAGAGUCUGAACCAGCCAAGUAGCGUGAAGGAUGAAGGUUCUAUGGAUUGUAAACUUCUUUUAUACGGGAAUAAACGAAUCCACGCGUGGAUUUUUGCAUGUACCGUAUGAAUAAGGAUCGGCUAACUCCGUGCCAGCAGCCGCGGUAAUACGGAGGAUCCGAGCGUUAUCCGGAUUUAUUGGGUUUAAAGGGAGCGUAGAUGGGUUGUUAAGUCAGUUGUGAAAGUUUGCGGCUCAACCGUAAAAUUGCAAUUGAUACUGGCAGUCUUGAGUACAGUUGAGGUAGGCGGAAUUCGUGGUGUAGCGGUGAAAUGCUUAGAUAUCACGAAGAACUCCGAUUGCGAAGGCAGCUUACUAACCUGUAACUGACAUUGAUGCUCGAAAGUGUGGGUAUCAAACAGGAUUAGAUACCCUGGUAGUCCACACGGUAAACGAUGAAUACUCGCUGUAGGCGAUAUACGGUCUGCGGCCAAGCGAAAGCAUUAAGUAUUCCACCUGGGGAGUACGCCGGCAACGGUGAAACUCAAAGGAAUUGACGGGGGCCCGCACAAGCGGAGGAACAUGUGGUUUAAUUCGAUGAUACGCGAGGAACCUUACCCGGGCUUAAAUUGCAACCGAAUAUGGCGGAAACGCCAUAGCUAGCAAUAGCGGUUGUGAAGGUGCUGCAUGGUUGUCGUCAGCUCGUGCCGUGAGGUGUCGGCUUAAGUGCCAUAACGAGCGCAACCCUUGCCGAUAGUUACUAACAGGUUAUGCUGAGGACUCUGUCGGGACUGCCAUCGUAAGAUGUGAGGAAGGUGGGGAUGACGUCAAAUCAGCACGGCCCUUACGUCCGGGGCUACACACGUGUUACAAUGGGGGGUACAGAGGGCUGCUACCACGCAAGUGGAUGCCAAUCCCAAAAACCUCUCUCAGUUCGGAUUGAAGUCUGCAACCCGACUUCAUGAAGCUGGAUUCGCUAGUAAUCGCGCAUCAGCCACGGCGCGGUGAAUACGUUCCCG